GGGUUGUGAGGUUAAGCGACUAAGCGUACACGGUGGAUGCCCUGGCAGUCAGAGGCGAUGAAGGACGUGCUAAUCUGCGAUAAGCGCCGGUAAGGUGAUAUGAACCGUUAUAACCGGCGAUUUCCGAAUGGGGAAACCCAGUGUGACUCGUCACACUAUCAUUAACUGAAUCCAUAGGUUAAUGAGGCGAACCGGGGGAACUGAAACAUCUAAGUACCCCGAGGAAAAGAAAUCAAC
rnacentral:rRNA from 1 species